AUCUUUGCGCUUGGGGCAAUGACGCAGCUUGUGAGGUUUUAACCGAGGCGCGUCAAUUGCUGGUUGAAAACUAUUUCCAAACCCCCUCUUUGGUCUUUAUGCCACCGAGAAUUUCUGCAAGGGCUCCCUGCAACCCAGGGUAAAACC